CCGCGGUAGGCACUUCCACGGACGACGGUUGGGUUGGCAGCAGGCACUUGCGCUUCCCCACGCCGCCGCACGCCAAGAAACUAAAAGGGGGCAACCGACGGGCUCGUUCACCUAUAUUUGUUAAGUUUCAGGCAGAGAGAAAGAUAGAGGAGCAAACAGCAACUCCAGAAGAUGAGUCUCCCUCGCCGCCGCCACCUUGUCCUGCUCGCCUGCCUCCUGGUCUUCCUCGUCUUCGCCGCGUCCGCGUCGACGAGUUCCGCCGAGGUGGCCCCGAGCGUGGCGGUGGACUUCGUGCGGCGGUCGUGCCGGUCGACGGAGUACCCGCGCGUGUGCGAGAGCACGCUGGUCCCCUGCGCGGCUGGCGUGGGGCGCAGCCCGCGCCUGCUGGCGCGAGCGGCGCUGGUGGUUGGCGCCGACCGCGCGCGCAACUGCUCCUCCUACAUCCGCGGCGGCGGCGGCGGCGCGAUGAAGGACUGCGCGGAGCUGGCGCGCGACGCGGAGGAGCGGCUGCGGCAGUCCGCGGCAGAGAUGGAGCGGAUGGGCCGUGCCGGCACACCGCGCUUCGCUUGGUCCCUCAGCAACGUCCAGACCUGGGCCAGCGCCGCGCUCACCGACACCUCCACCUGCCUCGACUCCCUCGCCCAGCAGUCCCGCGGUGGCAAGGACAGCGACGACGCCGUCAGGGUGAAGAGGAGGGUGGUGGCCGUCGCGCAGGCCACCAGCAACGCGCUCGGGCUCGUCAACAGGCUCCAGCCGGCGCCGCACCGGCGGCGUCUCCUGUGACUCUUGUAGCAGCAGCUAGCCACGGAAAUCUUUGAUGGUUCCUCGUUCUCAUCCAUGUCGACAUCAUCCGUCCCCUGCAUCUCCUUCUCCAAUUGCCAUGUAUGCGUGUAUGUAUGGGUAUGGUAUGCGUGUAUGUAUGGACUACGGAUCGAUCAGCUUUCUCGAUUGCGUGGUUGUCGUUGUCUAUCUGUAGUAACUCUGCAGCUGGGAUCACUCAAUUCCCGCUAGUGGUUGUUCAGGAUUAUGCUCAAGUUUAUGCGUAGUAAAUAGCAAAAUCUUUGAUUAGCCUAAUCUCUAAGACAGUGAGGGGGUAGACUACCAUUCCGUGUUC
rnacentral:misc_RNA from 1 species